GACGAACGCUGGCGGCGUGCCUAAUACAUGCAAGUCGAGCGGGCCUCCGGAGGUGCCUGCACCUCCGGAAGGCCAGCGGCGGACGGGUGAGUAACACGUGGGCAACCUGCCUUUGAGGCCGGGAUAACACCGGGAAACCGGUGCUAAUACCGGAUACGUCCUCUUUCGCGCCUGCGAGAGGGGAGAAAGACGGUCUUUAAGGCCGUCGCUCAAAGAGGGGCCCGCGGCGCAUUAGCUGGUUGGUGGGGUAAGGGCCUACCAAGGCGACGAUGCGUUGCCGACCUGAGAGGGUGAGCGGCCACACUGGGACUGAGACACGGCCCAGACUCCUGCGGGAGGCAGCAGUAGGGAAUCAUCCGCAAUGGGCGAAAGCCUGACGGUGCAACGCCGCGUGAGUGAGGAAGGUUUUCGGAUCGUAAAGCUCUGUUGUGAGGGAAGAACAGCUUCCGGAGGAAAUGCCGGAGGUUUGCCGGUACCUCACCAGAAAGCCCCGGCUAACUACGUGCCAGCCGCCGCAGUAA
rnacentral:rRNA from 1 species